rnacentral:lncRNA from 1 species
CGGGGAGGCAGCUAAGGCCCAGCGAGAAAUCGAGCACAGCAGCUGCUGGGCCAGGUGCUAAGCCCCUCACUGCACGGGGCUUGCGCGCCGGCCCGCCGGCCGCUCCGAGUGCGGGGCCUGCCGAGGCCACGCCCACCCGGAACUCGCGCUAGCCCGCAAGCGCCGCGCGCAGCCCUGGUUCCCGCCCGUGCCUCUCCCUCCACACUUUCCCGCAAGCUGAGGGAGCCGGCUCCCGCCUUGGCCAGCCCGGAAAGGGGCUCCCACGGUGCAGCGGUGGGCUGAAGGGCUCCUCAAGCACGGCCAGAGUGGGCGCCAAGGCCGAGGAGGCGCCGAGAACCAGCGAGGGCUGCCAGUAUGCUGUCACCUCUCAUUAUUACUUGCCGAUGUGAGUGGAGAAGGAGACUUGGUGAUAACAGGACUGAAAACCUUGUGUAGCCUACAGUCCAUAUGCUUCAGUCUAUUGUGUCUUGAUCUAAGAAGAGAUGCAGAACAGAUGGUAUGUUGGUGGCAGUCUGAGUUAAGCUUAUCUUCUGUAAGAAAAGAUUUCUACUGUCCAUAUUUCUGACUUAUUAUACCCAAUUUUAAUAUGCAUCUUAAAUGACAAGUGUGAAAAUAUAAGCACUUAAAUAUUUGCAGUUCUUUAAAUCUUGACGAACAUUGGUGGACAUAGUUGUUAUAUGAAAAUUUAAGAGCUGUUUUCAUGAUGAUUUUUAAAUCCAGACUUUCUUCAGUCUUUGCUAAAUUUAAAUCUCACAGUUCUCAGGUACUAGAAAGGGGCCUUUUUCUGUAUGCUCUAGAACUCUUUGGCCAAUAUACGUUACUUAAAUUUGUAUAUGAGCACAUCAUUUUUUGUAAAAAGUAAUCAUUCUAUUCUCUGCUUAUGAUUAUAGCAUUUUGAUUCAUUUUACUUCAUCUAGUUUGGCAAUAUUUUGAUAGAAAAUGCAUCAGAUAUAGGGUUCCUAUAGGAUCACAACAUCAAAACUUUCAUGUUACAGUGUUGAUAAAUUCUACAGACUUUGAUAAAGUCUACAGAAGUGUAACAUUCCCUAGACUCAUUAAAAAUUUUAAUAGUAUGUCCAGUCCCUUUGAUAGGCUGCUAUUAUUAUUAACACCUGUCAGGAGAUGACUCAACUAAUUAUUGAAUAAGAUGGUCUUAGAUGAUAAGAUUUUUUUUUCAUAUUGUGAUAUUUUUGAAAUGAACAGCGCUGAAAAUAUGAAGACAAAAUUUUGUUGUUAAAUGGGUUUAAACCCAUUUAUUAGUUCUAUGCACUUGGACAAAUUUGUAACUCUUAAUUUUGCCCAUAUCAAUAUAGCAUAAUACUAUCAUUGGAAUUACUUGUAAAAAUAAAAGGAGUUAUUAUACAAAAUUAUUGUCAGAUGCUAUCAGUACAAGUAAAAUAUAUUAGUUCCUCCAUUAUCUAUUUUUAAC